rnacentral:rRNA from 1 species
AGCGAACGCUGGCGGCAGGCUUAACACAUGCAAGUCGAACGCCCCGCAAGGGGAGUGGCAGACGGGUGAGUAACACGUGGGAACGUACCCUUUGGUUCGGAAUGACUUGGGGAAACUCAAGCUAAUACCGGAUAAGCCCUUAUGGGGAAAGGUUUACUGCCGAAGGAUCGGCCGGCGUCUGAUUAGCUAGUUGGUGAGGUAAUGGCUCACCAAGGCGACGAUCAGUAGCUGGUCUGAGAGGAUGACCAGCCACACUGGGACUGAGACACGGCCCAGACUCCUACGGGAGGCAGCAGUGGGGAAUAUUGGACAAUGGGGGCAACCCUGAUCCAGCCAUGCCGCGUGAGUGAUGAAGGCCUUAGGGUUGUAAAGCUCUUUUACCCGGGACGAUAAUGACUGUACCGGGAGAAUAAGCCCCGGCUAACUUCGUGCCAGCCGCCGCCGUAA